GGCCUGGUGCGCUGCUGCGAGCGCGGCGGGUCUGGACAUGGCAAGUGCGGCGCAUGGCUGAGGGUGACGCGGGGGGAAAUUUCGCGAUCCUGGACCAAGGUGAGCGAGCGCGACCGUCUCAGAGUGAUGCGGAGAGCGGCGCGGCGAGCUCACAGCCAGCGCGUGCGUGGGGACUGGGGAGCUCAAGGGCGGUGCGGGUAGCGGCGCGUCCACGGGCGAGCUGGCGGAAUCCUAGAGACCUUGAUUGGAUCUGCUUCGAUCGGAGUUGGACUUGGGAUAGGAUAUAUGUUUGCGUGGUUUCGGUCCUCGCGGGUCCACGGCUUGCAAUUACUACCUGAUGAAUCUGGGUGUUCCUCGGAUCGACGCCGCCCGGAGUAGGACGCUGGACGCCUGCUUCUCCCCCGGGCGCCGCCAUUACACCGUCGCGCAGGUCUCCGCCGACGCCGCUGUCGCACGCCAGGAACUCGUGUCUUCGUCGGCCCCUUCUCCAUAUCUUCACCAGCGACACGAGCACGUACCCAACAGCUAUUGUGCCACCCAUGCGCUAUACCUUUGGACCCAUCCCAAGAUCUGCUACCGUGGAGGAAGGAUUGCAGUUAUUUUCUGUUAAGGUUUGCGAACUCAAAGAGGAAGAAGGCGUCCACUGGCCACUGCGCACGUAUAUGGCUUGAUCGCUACCAGGGACUCCAUGGAUCCUAGACGUAACUUUAUUUUCCACCGUGCCAGGGAUAACUGCCAAACCAUAACUGAAGAGGAUCCGUUUUUGUUGUUAACAGGCCCAUCUCAUGCAGUUGUGAUACUUGAUCCGGUUUUGCAUUUGAAGUUCAACUGAAAGCAAAGGGUGAAAGUGAAUCUGAAGAUAAAGUGCUUGUCUUUAAUGUCUUAAAAACACAUCAUUCUGUCAGUCAUAUUGGGCAUCCUCCUCCCAUAAAUACAAGACACUUAUGUGGCAAACGUAGCAACCUUGAGUUCACAUUUGCAGUACUACUACAAACAGUUGAGGCUACUAUAGGCGUUCAAGUUAUUGAUGGAUCAUGGCCAGAAGAUGUCCCUGGACGCUGCACAGCCAGUAUCCCUGAAGUGCAGAUCUCUCUUCUAGAUUCCAGAGGUGCAAGAAUGCCUAUCAAUGAUGCUGGUCUGAUUGAGCUUACAAGACAGGUUGUUUCUGUGGAAUUUAUUGGAGAACUCAAAGUUUUUUUUAGGAACUAUCCUUGUUAUGUCCGUUAUUAUGGUUGCGUUCUUAUUCUUAAUUCUUUUUGGGACCAGAUUAUUGACUAGAUAAGUAUGGGAUAUACAGCUGCUUUAAUUUGGCGA